rnacentral:lncRNA from 1 species
AAUUCAUUGCUAGUCAAAGCCUGUUUCCAGAGAUGCGCAUCAGAGCCAGCUCUUCAGUUCUGGGAGCAAUGAGUCAAUGCCUGAUUCCACAGAUGCCUAUCAGCUGCCCUUACAUGCACUAUGAGGAUACUGAAGAAGUCUUCAAUUGAAAGACAACUAUAAGCACAAGCAAGGAGGGG